rnacentral:rRNA from 1 species
AGUGAACGCUGGCGGUAGGCCUAACACAUGCAAGUCGAACGGCAGCACAGUAAGAGCUUGCUCUUACGGGUGGCGAGUGGCGGACGGGUGAGGAAUACAUCGGCAUCUACUUUUUCGUGGGGGAUAACGUAGGGAAACUUCCGCUAAUACCGCAUACGACCUACGGGUGAAAGCAGGGGAUCUUCGGACCUUGCGCGAUUGAAUGAGCCGAUGUCGGAUUAGCUAGUUGGCGGGGUAAAGGCCCACCAAGGCGACGAUACGUAGCUGGUCUGAGAGGAUGAUCAGCCACACUGGAACUGAGACACGGUCCAGACUCCUACGGGAGGCAGCAGUGGGGAAUAUUGGACAAUGGGCGCAAGCCUGAUCCAGCCAUACCGCGUGAGUGAAGAAGGCCUUCGGGUUGUAAAGCCCUUUUGUUGGGAAAGAAAAACAGCAGGUUAAUACCCCGCUGUUCUGACGGUACCCAAAGAAUAAGCACCGGCUAACUUCGUG